rnacentral:tRNA from 1 species
AGGGAUUUGGCUCAGUGGUAGAGUGCUUGCCUAGCAAGCACAAGGCCCUGGGUUCGGUCCCCAGCUCUG